AGCAUGUUGUCUGCGUAGAUCUGCGUGAAUGAGCCGAAUGAGUCAACGGUUUAACUAAUUGCUGCAGUAACUCGGUCAUUUGUCCACGAAGACCUAUUACCAUUUUAUAAAUGAUCAUUCGUGUGGCUCGUUUGUUGUGAUAGAGGCAAGCCUUGCCUAAGUAAUUGAUUUGGCUCGUGCUUACAAAGGCGACUGGGUAUUUGCUCCUUUUGGUUUUAUCUGCCUUCAUAGCCCUUGAGGGAUUUGCUUUCAACCUGAAACGUCACGCGCAAUGCAAAGACGACCAACCUCGACAGGAUCUGUUCCUGUGGGUAAAUGAAAAUUAAUCACUGUAGACAUUUCUGUCAGCUAAAUGUAAAAAUCCUCCAGCUACUUCUAGCCCAUUUGUGUUUGUAUUUUGGAAAGAUGCCAGUAUUUUGAUAAAUUCUAACUCUAAAUUAAGUUAAUUUUGCCACAAAGUGCCUCGUUUUUUCCUUGAUUGGCACUUUUUAACUUUGGUUCCUCUCGCCUUGUUAGUUUUAUGGUUAAUGAUGCGUGCUUCAAUUUGGAGUAACCUUCGUUAUUUCGCAUUUGAAAAAGCACAUAGUCAACAUUUUACUCUCCUAUUUAAUUUUCUAUCCAAAGCAGAACCUUAGGAAAUUGAUCAUUACUUAAGUUGAUUUUCUUCAUCGAUGCGAAUCCUCUUUUCUCAUUUAAAAUUUUCUUGCCCGACUCAUUAGUUGAUGGGGCAUCAAUGCAUGGAAUCCGCCGAUCUUGCAUUAAGAAUGAUUGUUGUAAACGUUAAGGAGUAAG